rnacentral:SRP_RNA from 1 species
CCGUGCUAGACGGGGAGUUAGCGGUGCCCUGUAGCCCGCAAUCCGCUUCAGCGGGGUCGAAUCCCCUCCCGAGGGCGGGCCGUGUUGAAUGAGCCUCGUGGGACGGUGUUGAAGGUUGGGCCCCACGCAACGAGAAUCGUCGAACCCCGCCAGGCCCGGAAGGGAGCAACGGUAAGGCGACCCUCUCGUGUGCCGUGGGAGUACCUGACUGGAGCCGGCUCUGCGGGGAGAUCGCAGUGCGGUUCGAUCGACGGAGGGUGCACGG